rnacentral:rRNA from 1 species
GACGAACGCUGGCGGCAGGCCUAACACAUGCAAGUCGAGCGGAGCGGCGGACGGGUGAGUAAUGACUAGGAAUCUGACUGGUAGUGGGGGAUAAAGUCCGGAAACGGGCGCUAAUACCGCAUACUAUCAGAUGAGCCUAGGUCGGAUGAGAUAGUGGGUGGGGUAAAGGCCUACCAAGGCGACGAUCCGUAACUGGUCUUAGAGGAUGAUCAGUCAAACUGGAACUGAGACACGGUCCAGACUCCUACGGGAGGCAGAAGUGGGGAAUAUUGGACAAUGGGCGAAAGCCUGAUCCAGCCAUGCCGCGUGUGUGAAGAAGGUCUUCGGAUUGUAAAGCACUUUAAGUUGGGAGGCGUUACCAACAGAAUAAGCACCGGCUAACUCCGUGCCAGCAGCCGCGGUAAUAC